rnacentral:rRNA from 2 species
GUCUACGGCCAUACCACUGAGAAAGCACCGGUUCCCGUCCGAUUACCGUAGUUGUUAAGCUCAUUAGGGCACGGUUAGUACUUGGACGGGUGACCGCCUGGAAAUACCGUGUGCUGUAGGCA